UACGUAGGGUGCAAGCGUUGUCCGGAAUUAUUGGGCGUAAAAGAGCUCGUAGGCGGUCUGUCGCGUCUGCUGUGAAAACUCAGGGCUUAACCCUGAGCUUGCAGUGGGUACGGGCAGACUAGAGUGCGGUAGGGGGAGAUUGGAAUUCCUGGUGUAGCGGUGGAAUGCGCAGAUAUCAGGAGGAACACCAAUGGCGAAGGCAGAUCUCUGGGCCGUAACUGACGCUGAGGAGCGAAAGCAUGGGGAGCGAACAGG
rnacentral:rRNA from 1 species